rnacentral:tRNA from 1 species
GGGCCGCUAGCUCAGUUGGCUAGAGCAGCUGACUCUUAAUCAGCGGGUCCGGGGUUCGAAUCCCUGGCGGCCCA